CAUAAACUGACAACACACCACAUAUAAUUCCCACUCCACUAACCGCUUGAGCAAAUAUUUUCAUGUACAUAUUCUUGGACUCUUUUGUUGCCUUGUCUUCCUCCGGGGUUUUAAUUUCCAGCUUAUCAGUGAAGAAACAAACAAUGCUCUUCUCUGAAAGCUCUUCAGCUAAUCCGAGAAGAAGAAACUGUGGAACCAACCAAAACAUGGUCAUGGAAAUUGUUUUCGUGUCCUUGUCGUCGUCCUCGAUCAAACCCUCACUCCUCACCACACCUAAUCUUCGGGUCUCCACUUUUGCAGCUGUGAUACAACACAGAGUUGCAAUUAUCUUUGACACAGCAAUUCCAAAUCUGGGAUCCGCAGCACACCAUUUUAUUUGGUUCGCCAAAUACGCUUUCAGAUACCCUUGGAAACAAAUUGGAAGGACAAUAAUAGGAACCAAUAAGCGCCCAAC
rnacentral:lncRNA from 1 species